UACGUAGGUGGCAAGCGUUGUCCGGAUUUACUGGGCGUAAAGAGCGCGCAGGCGGUCGAUCAAGUCGCGUGUGAAAGCCCCCGGCUCAACUGGGGAGGGUCACGCGAUACUGAUCGACUCGAAGGCAGGAGAGGGUAGUGGAAUUCCCGGUGUAGUGGUGAAAUGCGUAGAUAAUCGGGAGGAACACCAGUGGCGAAGGCGACUACCUGGCCUGUUCUUGACGCUGACGGCGCGGAAA
rnacentral:rRNA from 1 species